UGCAAAUACUGAUAAUACUGCGAUGGGU
rnacentral:sRNA from 1 species